CCCCAUUUUUUUCCCGGUUUUUUCCCCAGGCCAAGCUGCACCCGGUGAAGCUGGAGCGGCUCCCGGAGUCCAGCCCGGCCGCCCGGAUCCUCUCGGUGGAGCCCACGCUCCAGGCUUCCUUCGCCCUCCACGAGGACGCCAACCCCAGCUCCCGCCGGCGCGGCCUGAAGCGAUUCCCCGAGAACCCCGAAGCUUUUUGGGGUCCCAAGGCCAGGGCCAAGCCCGGGUGAGGCCUGGGGGGGGCUCGGUUUGGGGGUUCAGGCGCCCCCCACCCUUUUUAGGGGGGAUAUUCCCCCCUUUUUUCGCUCAGGGUAAGGCAGAAACCCCCCUAAAAAGAGCUCGGGGUUCAUCCCUUUCCUGUGUUCUUUAUGGGGAGGGGUCCCUCACCUUCUCCCCUUUUUGGGGAGGGGUCCCUCGCCCUCUCCCCUAUUUUGGGGAGGGGUCCCCACCUCAUUCCCAUCCUUUUCCAGGGGGGGCAUCGCCCCCUCCCUGCAGGAGAAGAGGGAGAGGCUCCAGAACAAGAGGAGGCAGCGCCAGGACGGGGCCGGGCUCAAACAAUUCCCCUGCAAACGCUUCAAGGAGGUGGGCAGGGGUCCCCAAAUAUGGGGAGGGGUCCCCAAAAUAUCGUGAGGGGUCCUAAAAUAUGGGGAGGGGUCCCAGAACAACGAGAGGUCCCCUAAAAUAGGGAAGGGGGUGUGGGAAUAAAGGAGGAAUAAAGGGGGUCCA
rnacentral:lncRNA from 1 species